AACGAACGCUGGCGGCAUGCCUAACACAUGCAAGUCGAACGAGACCUUCGGGUCGAGUGGCGCACGGGUGCGUAACGCGUGGGAACCUGCCCUUAGGUUCGGAAUAACUCCCCGAAAGGGGUGCUAAUACCGGAUAAUGACUUCGGACCAAAGAUUUAUCGCCUUUGGAUGGGCCCGCGUUGGAUUAGCUAGUUGGUAGGGUAAACGCCUACCAAGGCGACGAUCCAUAGCUGGUCUGAGAGGAUGAUCAGCCACACUGGGACUGAGACACGGCCCAGACUCCUACGGGAGGCAGCAGUGGGGAAUAUUGGACAAUGGGCGAAAGCCUGAUCCAGCAAUGCUGCGUGAGUGAUGAAGGCAUUAGGGUUGUAAAGCUCUUUUACCCGGGAUGAUAAUGACGGUACCGGGAGAAUAAGCUCCGGCUAACUCCGUG
rnacentral:rRNA from 1 species